rnacentral:rRNA from 1 species
GAUGAACGCUGACAGAAUGCUUAACACAUGCAAGUCAACUUGAACUUCGGUUUGGGUGGCGGACGGGUGAGUAACGCGUAAAGAACUUGCCUCACAGCUAGGGACAACAUUUGGAAACGAAUGCUAAUACCUGAUAUUAUGAUUUUAGGGCAUCCUAGAAUUAUGAAAGCUAUAUGCGCUGUGAGAGAGCUUUGCGUCCCAUUAGCUAGUUGGAGAGGUAACGGCACACCAAGGCGAUGAUGGGUAGCCGGCCUGAGAGGGUGAACGGCCACAAGGGGACUGAGACACGGCCAUUACUGCUACGGGAGGCAGCAGUGGGGAAUAUUGGACAAUGGACCAAGAGUCUGAUCCAGCAAUUCUGUGUGCACGAUGAAGUUUUUCGGAAUGUAAAGUGCUUUCAGUUGGGAAGAAAAAAAUGACGGUACCAACAGAAGAAGUGACGGCUAAAUACGUG